rnacentral:miRNA from 1 species
AGGACGGGUCGUGUGUUAAUG